rnacentral:rRNA from 1 species
CUCAAGAUGAGAUUUCCCAACUUCGGUUAUAAGAUCCCUCAAAGAUGAUGAGGUUAAUAGGUUCGAGGUGGAAGCAUGGUGACAUGUGGAGCUGACGAAUACUAAUCGAUCGAAGACUUAAUCAAAUU